GGAUGGGUGGCUGAGUGGUUUAAGGCGCACGCCUGGAAAGUGUGUGUACGUGAAAGCGUACCGUGGGUUCGAAUCCCACCCCAUCCG
rnacentral:tRNA from 2 species